rnacentral:lncRNA from 1 species
GUUAAUAUCAUAUGUAUACUAUGGCCCUUCGUCCUUUGCGUUUUUAUAUACAUACAGUGUAUAUAUGACUGUAUUUCAGUCAUUUAUACACAACUUUAGUCCCCCAACUGUAUCACCAUCUUCAUACCACCAGUAUACCAGCCCUCACACUGCGUAUAUCGCUGUAUACCAAUGCAAAAACAGUCCUCUUGGGACUUGGUCUUGAGGUUUUGACUCGAGGAAGUGGGGGUUUGGCCCCCGAAAUGCAAGGGGGAGGGUCCCGUUGAUCCAUGUAGUUCAUGCAUUGCAAAGAAAAGAAAAAGAUUAGUACGUGAUGCAAUGAAGAUCAAACCUUGGAUGGACAAAUAGAACAAAGAAACACGUCUAAUUAUAUGAUUUUAACAUUCCGUCCAAGACAGCCUCUAUGGAGUGCAUUCUCAUCAAAGAAGAUAAAUUUUAGCAAGGAACAUGAAUCACAAAAAGAAAACCAUACAAAGUGAAAUAUUAUCUCAGAUUGGAGCCACGACACAAUACUAUGAUUAAUAAUUAAUUAAUGCCACUUUUCAUAUAAAAAGAAAGGGUAAUAAACUUAGUCAUCACGCAUAACAAAUCAAACCAAAUUAGAAUAGCAUGGCUAUGUUAAUAAAUAUUUGAAAAGUCAAAGAGGGGUUUUUAUAAUUAAACAUAAAGUCUUAGUCAUUUUUUAUUGAAUCUAGCAGAGAGAAGCGACCAAAGUCAGGAUACACUUCAAACAAGAUAAGAACCUUCCCUUUUUUAGAAUUCCAACAAAGAAAACAAAUAGAAUAUUCCAGAUUAGAUAAGCGACCAAAGUCAGGAUACACUUCAAACAAGAUAAGAACCUUCCCUUUUUUAGAAUUCCAACAAAGAAAACAAAUAGAAUAUUCCAGAUUAGAUAACGUCUCAUGCUUUCGGCGACCAUAAGGAAAAAUAACAUCGGCAAGAGAACAAUUUUUCAGGCUUGUGUUUCCAGAGGAAUAGUUGAAUAACCAUGCUACAGUAUGGGUCUGCAUAAUCGAAAUCAUUCCAACUUCUACGCAAAUAAUAAAAUCAAGAAAAUUUUAUAUUAAUAAAUCGUGCAUUAUGAAGAUUGACAGAAAGGAACUACCUUUUCCUGGGCAGCGAAAAGAACAGGAUGAGCUCUAAGUGAUCGGAAUUCCACCGAAAUUUAAUUGUUUGUGCAGGUGGUUCAAUUUCAACUUCAUCGGGAUUGAUUUUUCGAUGAAAUUUCUUCUUGAAUUCUUUGGUUACGUGGGAUUAGAGGACCGCUCCUCCCGAAUCUCCAAUUUUUCGCCAAAGAAUCCUCUCCCUUUUCUCUCUUCCUUCAACCUCUAUUUAUAGGGGAAAAGUUUUGGGAUUUUCAGACUUGAAAACUGAAAUUCAAGUGAUUUCUUCAGAAAUUUUGAAAUCCACUUUGGGACAAAAAGAAGAGUCGUUGAGCAUUAAUUGCUUACCCAAAAUGGUGAAUUAAAGACUGAGAAAGAUGAAAGUUAUCUGAUUUUAGCCAUAAAUGGCUGUACAAUGAGGGAAAAAUGGUAAAAAAAAGCGUAUGGGUUUUGCCGUGGUUGACUGGCCGUGACGCCGUUUUUGGCUGUGGGUUAGGGACGUUUGGUCACUGUUUUGCUUUUGUACGCCGUUGUUGUACUGUUGUCAUUGUUUGAUGAUGAGGAAAAAGGAAAAGAAAGGAGGUGGGCCGGGUUGAUUGUUAUGAUGUUGGGCUAGGCUGAAAUAGAGUGGGUUGGUGGGUGUUUGUGGAGCUGGUUGGGUUGUAAGGUGCUAUUGGGUCAGCUGGUGAGUAAUUGGGCUGGGAAGUUGUUGUUUGCUGGGCCUGGGCGGGCAAUUUGGUUAAAAGGGAAAUGGGUUGGUUAGGGAACCAAUUAAAAAUUGUAACCAUUCCAUAUAAAUAAGAAUGACCACAAUUGAAUAGAUUGGACGAAAUUAACUUUUAAUUAAUUUAACGAAUUUCUCAAAUUUAAUAACUUCAAAAUAAA